CAAGAUACGUCUGCUCUUUGGAUGCACCAGAGCUAUGAAGCCAAGAAGACUAGUGCCUUUGGAUGUGGAUUCUAAGAUUACAGCAUGAUCUGCAUCAGUGAUGAUGGAGUCAAAAUGACUGCUUUGCAUCUGCUGUAUGUGUCUUGGAGCUGGAUUUUUCUGUGAAGUCUGUGGAAGCUUGUUGCCAUGUUAAAUGCCCAGCUUUCAUUAAAUCCACACCUGAAGGACAUGUGAAUUUUCAGCCCACCCAGUUUGAUGGAGCAUUUCUGUCUGGAAGCAUAUUGGUUGAAGCUUCUCAUCAGGUACCCAGGACUUGCUGCUUUUGCUUGUGCAUCCUAGAAAUUCAGAGGACAUCUUGACUUCGAAGAUUUACAACUGAGCAUCCUAUAUGGAACAUCUGAUUCUGGUUCCAGUGAUUUUCCCUGGUGAGAAGAGCCCAGUAAGGAGAGCUGGACCAGUUCCCAGGCUUCCACACAGCAUGGUUUGAGGGCAUCCCAUCAAACAGGCUCUUUCAGAGCAGAGGACUUCGAGGUUUCUGUGCCCGGAGACAAACUGCUUCAGAGUGAGGUCAGCAACUACAGUUGAGGCUUUCCUCAACCUUCUGACUUCCUUUGUUCUGUUUUUGAAAAAAGAAAGCUAAAAUCAGCACUUUGUGUUUUCAGUUACGAAGCUUAUUCAUGUGUGAGAGGUGCAGUAAGGACACCUUUCUCCACUGAAGGAAGCUGAAGUGCGUGGGGACUGGCCCCCUCCCUCUGUUUUCUGGAGGGGGUUGCUGUUUGCCUCCCGCAGAUCCGGCCGAGUCCUGACUGCCCCCCAUGCCAGUACCCAGGUACCCCCGAGGGAACUGAAACUCUUGGUACACAGAAACUUGCCAGAUAUCCAAGGAUAAGAGCCAAAUUGGUCAAGCUAUUUCACUUUACACAGCUGCAAGGAAGACCAGCUUCAGAGAAAUACAAUUAAAAUUGUUGUGUGACAGGCAAGUUCUCUAAUCUCAAGGCCAACCGCUUAACAAGUAUUAAAUUAUUUCAUUCAAAAUGGAACCAUUUCCACAGAAAUAUUCAGAGGCUUCUCUCAUCCCAGAUUUCCCCAAGGCACCCUCCAGAAAUUUUUGGAGAAAGACUUUAAGCCAGAAAGCUGUUGGACAAAUGGAGGGAAAAAAAACCCCAGGUUUUCCAAGUCCCAAAGAGAUGAUCUAACUGCUGAGGUGCUGGGCAAAAACACGAAAGCAAGAACAAAAGUCACUGUGUUAAGACCGGUCAAGAACUCCAUGAAUCUUCAGAUCUAAAUUUUUCAUGAAGCAUAUGGCUGACUGAAAUAUGGGGACCACAGUCCCAAAGGCUCCACUGAGACUUGUUGUGAAAUGGAAUUUUGAAUAGAGAUUGGUUUAGCUCUACUUCCUUUUGAGGGAUUUGGGUAUUUUUUUUGCUUGGUUGUUACUGUUGUUAAACCAUUUUUGUUUGUAGCUGUUGUUAAACUAGCUCUCAGCCAUUACUUUGUUUUCUUCUCAAAAAUUUAUUUGUUAUUGUAAUUCAUGAGUGAGGCCGUCAUUUCCAUAAUUUAUUUUCUCCUGUAAUUAUGUCAUCUUGUU